GUGUAUGGUAAGAACUAAGGCAAAAGCCAUAAAUGUGCAGUUAAUGUCUCAGAUGUCUCAGUAAAUGAAAGUGAUGUUAGCAAAUCCAAGCAAACAAAUCUAAGCUAAACAGAUCGAAAGCCCUAUUGCAAAUUAAGUGUAAGCUCCGACCCUUUAAGAAUUAAGUUGGCUACUGCCGCAGCCUAAUAAAUCUGGAGGCGUCUCGCCAGGCAGAAAGAUAAAUCUAACGGAGGGCCGAAACUAAUUUCAUUAUCAAAAUAUAAACACGAAGACUGUGCAGGUCAGACUUCGGUUAACCUUUCCUUUUUGUUUGAGCUGUAGACCUGGCAGCAAAAAAAGGACCAAACAAAUAUUAAUUAAUACAACUUCUAAAUUAUUUUUGGGGGAAAAGUAAAUUUGGCCGGACACUGGGAAACAAAUGUGAGCACAAAAAGUUGGUCAAAGUUUGUACUUAGCUACAUUUUUUACCUUAAUUAUAAGUUGUUGCGAAUUGGCACAGCAAUUCGUUUUAAGGUCUAAAAUAGAAAAAGUUUGGCAGGACAAUCUGAAGUUGAAGCAUUUUAAUUAAUGUGAGCAGCAGGGGAGUGAUGUGUUGUCAUGCUUUUAAAUAAAGUGUCAGACCAAAUAUUUGUGGAAAAUUAAAUUAAAGCUCUGUGGAUUCUGCAGCUGCCUUUCCUUUGGAUUUAUUCAUUUGAAAAAUGUUCAUCGAGCGGCCUAGUAGCUCGAACAAAUUAUCACACAUACGCCGUGUGUGCGGCCCAGGUGUUCAGAUAAACUUUGCUGGCUGGCACAGCAAUUAGCAGUAUUUAGGUGUAAUUGCGAAAUUAUGCAAAAAUCACAGACUGCCGGCAGGUCGUUGGCAGAUAAGAGGGAAUUGGAGUGACGAGGGAGAAAACGAAGUGCUGCAGCCACAGGAUAUUUCAUUUCCAUGCCCGACUUGCUGACAUUUUGUAAUUUUAUGCUCGUUUAUUUCUGACCUUCCUGUCACCUCUUAAGCGUAUUAGAAAAAUGCCAGUGAUAAUUGCCAAAGUCCCUGCCUGUUUCAUUCUCCAAGGCAUGUCGGCUUUUAAUGAUAGUUUUGGGACCCGGCCACCGGAAUGCUGGGAGCUUCUAGGCCUCGGUCACGUAGCUAUAAUGAAUGCCCAAGCCAGAGACUGAGUUUUGUCGUCUUUCCCUCGUAGUUGCGGAACAGUUUUUAGCAAAGGUCUGCCUUAUUUGGAGCUGGCCUUUGUUUAAUUGCCAAAUAGGGCAAUUAAUAGGCUCGUCUGGCGAAAUCCCAGCACUCGCAUUACCUUUAUUUACUUUUGUAGAUAUUAUCGGCCGUUUCAGCAGUUUCGUAGGCUCCACAGGGAUAUGUUGGCACAGAAAGCAUGUUGAAUUGCAGGAAAAGGAUAGGGAUGUAAGAUUAAAUGGACGAAAUUUGAUAUUUAAUGGUGCACUGUAAAGCUUACACUUUUAUGUGCAGCACAGACGAAAACAGUGGCGCUCUUUCAUUUGACUAAUUGCGUUUUAAGGCUUUUGAUAAAUAAACCUUAAGAUAUUUCAAAUCAUAAUAUGCACAUACGAAGACGGAAUGGUAAUUAAUUUACUUUUGCAUGAGCAUUGCGAGAUUGCAACUAAUGAGCAAUGAGUGACAUGGUUGUGAGCCACUUGCAGGCAGAGAAAACAGCUAAUUAGCAAACAAAUUCGGGGAAGUAAAGGAGCGACUACAUGCUCUUUGAAUGAAUGCUGCGGAGAUGUCAACAUAAAUAAUCAUGCUGCGUUCAACGGGGCGUAUGCUCAAUAAUUAAAACGAAUUAGCGUCUCCUAAUGAGCAUGCAAGCGCGCACUUUUCUAUUAAUUUAUUUAUGGUCCAACAGAGCCAUAAAGGCGGAAACGUAAAUAAACUUUGACGCACCUCCUACCUGCGCUCGACCUGUUGCCCCUGCGGCCAGGCCAUUAAUUCUCAUGAGUAAAAUAAUUAGAAAAUCAAAUAGAAAAACGCCAGGGUGGCUCUGCGUCAAAUGUUUUCGCAGAACUCGGCUGCUCUGUUUGUCGGGUUGUUUGUUUGUCGGGUUGCCGGGUUGCAUAGCAUCCGGCGGAAGCGGAAAUGGCGCAACUGUGCUAAACUAUAACUUGCGCGUAAAGUUAAGCAACUGCACAAAGUUUCGGCUCGAAUGCUGCCAACGGCAGGGCGUGGCAAGUGCUAGAGUGUAAGUUCGCCAAGGGAAUUCGCUACAUUGCCCUCAGAUGGAAGCUAAAAGUUUGAGUAUGGGGGAGCACACUAAAAGAAAUGCAUAUUGAAUGCAGUUCAUCUGCGUAAAAAUAUUUUAUUCAGUGGUGUAACCGAAGUAAAAUCAGACAUAAAAUUAUGGGCAGAAAUUCAGCCCCAGUGUAGCUUGUGAAAGCAUUUCGCUACAGUCCGGCUAAAGUCCCAGUUCCCAGUCAGAGUUUUAAUAUAUACAAGUUUUCCUAAAGUAAGUCUUAUUUAGAAUGCAUACGUUGCUCCCGAAAUGAACUAUCGCUGAAGGGAAUCAGCUGUCAUAUCAACGCGCCUUUGACAAGUGCGAAUAAGCGAGGCGAAAGACAAAAGUUCUGCGGCAAACUUCAGUGAUUAAAUCCGAUUUGACAGCGGUAGGCGGGAAAAGUGCAGGUGAAGAAGUCAGAGGUAGGGGGAAAAAUUGCAGUCGGCUUCAGAUAGUGGCGAAUUGGGGUCGUGAUGUGGUUACUGCUGUCACAACUUGUUAGCCAAGUGCUGCUAAUUAUGCAAUUAUUUUUUCGCAUUUCCCCACAGACUUUUACGACUUUUUUACGACACUGCGCAACUUUUGCUAACUGUGCGAAAGUUUUUUAUGGCGCCGCGGACAAGUGGUCAGCGAUUUAAUUUUAAUUGUAUUUAGAUAAGAUUUAAUGGUGUUUGUUCUAAAGCAGAGCAAAAGCAGAAAGUUAAUCAACUCCCAGAGAUGCUAAUUUGCCUGCAGUUCGCGUCCACUUUCUUGCCACUUUUUCCGCCGCGCAAGUGAGUCAUUCCGAUGGCAAAGGACACUGCGUGCGGCUCCUACAUACAUACAUAUGCUGGAGUAUGAUAUAUUUCACGGUGCCUGCACAACAGUAUGUGCCGUAAAAUAUUUAGUGCUUAGUCCUGUGGCCUCCACAUGCGCAUUUUCGGCGGUUCCGCAGGAUUACCGUGAGCAGCAGACAAAAAUAAAUAGAGAGCGCUAAGCAUGCUCCAAAACGCCCAACAAUAGACCGUGCCUUAUAUAUGUAUGUAUGUAUGUACAUAUGUACGGCCAUUUGUGCACGUGUGUGUGCAUGUGCCACAUACCCGUACAUGUGCCGUACUAUUCAACGACAAGCAGCAAUAAUGAUCUUUUUGUUACACAUGGGCGGUGGGCGGUGGGCGGCUGGCUGGCGGGGGUCGGGGGGCGCGACAAAGCAAACAAACAUCGCACACGCACACACUCCCGUUCGCAGGAGUGCAAAUACCCACACACACGCACAGGCGGACAGCAUUUAUUUUUGUUUGUCAUGACUUUGCGCUUUUGCUGUGAGGAGAAAGUAGGAAGGGGAACGGAGAAAGGAGAAAGCAGCGCGGAGAAAGUGGAAAUGGAAAUGGAGUGCAAAAGGGAAGGGGACGACCAGUGGCAGUACACGCCAUUUUUCGGCGCUUUGUCUUUUUUUUUUCUCUCCGCUCUGUUUGCAUUUGUUAGCAUACAAUUUGGCAUCGGCACACACGGCGGAUGGAUUAUUAUUUUGUCGCUAAAGUCAACAACUAGCUCGCAAGGGCUUUUGAUGUAAGCGUAUAAGGGAAAUUGCCCACUGGAAAUGGUUAGCUACAGUGCACUUUCGCAUUUCCAUUUUCCCUGCAAGGGAAACCCUUAAUUGUGAGUUACUAAACAAAGCAUAUUGAAUGUAGUCAUCUUAUUUGGCCAUUACUUUAAUGGCAGUGGGCACUGCAAUUUCCCUUAUGCAUUAUACGAACCACUUUAAUCUAACUGCUUCGUGUGCAGCUAACCUUUGGCUUACGAACUAGCUUUCCAUGAGGUCCCAAACGCUGUAAUUAAUUUUACCACAGCACGUUUGCAGAAUUCAAAAUUCGCGACAAUUAUUUAAGGCCGUGGGUCCGCAAGCCCUGGCUGAAAUAUUAAAUUAUUUGCCGGCCAUAAACAGGGCUUCAUGGUCAGGCAAGGGCGCACACGCAGUAAGUAGGCAAUGGAUUUUUUCAAUUUGCGUUACUUGCCAAGAUGUUAUGCAAGUCACGCUCCGAUCCGGCCUGCACACAAGCAUAUACGAGUAUGUGCUUGUAUAUGUUUAUGUAUUUGUAUAUAUGUGUAGUUAUAGGGAUGUAUACAAGCGGAGGGGAAAGUGGGCAGCGGUAAUUCACAAUAUCAUGUGCUCAAUGGGCUGUGAGUCUGGUGAGGCUGGGGAAUCCCCGCACCAGUCGCAGUUGCUCUUUUGAUUUAUGCGACAUUUCCACACAUUUGCCUGCCAUUAACAUUUUGCUUCGUUGUCUGUCAGCCGGCAAACCUUGUCGUCUCAUCGUCGUCCUCCUCGUCCUCCUCGUCCUUGUCGCUCCUGUUGCCAGUGUCCUUGUUCGAUGUCUUUUGUGUGUCAGCAGUUCGCUGCACGGCAGCCUUCAUUCUGUUCUUGCACAGAUUGAAAUUGAUUGGGAACUCCCGGCAGAUGCAGCAGGCAUCUUCCUGGAGGAACCAACUUUGGCUGAGGGCAAACUUUUCUCUACGCAGCUCAAGAAAUGACAGGAAGUUCUGUUACCACGAAGAGAACUACUGAAAACAUGACUCGCCUGCUCAUGAAAUUUUAAUUUUAAACUGUUUCCGUAAACAAAAGCAAGAGAAUGCAAUUUAAUACGCUGCUAUUGAGCUAAAUGCUGCUGUGUGGUUUCCAUAGUUUCCAAAAUGGGCGUUGUAUUUUUCGGUCAGGUGGCCACGGGGCGUAUGCUUAAUAAAAGCAAACCACUGAGGAAUUCAGUUUAGAUAAACUUGAAUGUAUCUGGCUCAACUCGAAAAGUGAAAUAUUGCUGAGCACAGACAUAAGUAUAAUUUAACCGAAAGAGGUUAUUUGGGCCCCAAUCUUCUACGCAUAUAUGAAAAUGUUGCCUGAUGCUGAGUGGCUGCCUAAGUGCCUGGCCGUCUGGACCCGUUUCGAGUGCUUCAUCCAAAACACAUCUCCUCAUCCGAAACACAUGUACGGGCCAUAUUCACGAGGUAACUACAAGAAUAACCAUCCGGCUCAGCGACCCAACUCCGAGUAGAGAAAGUGGAGAGCGGAAAAGGUACUGGCGCCCCAGGAAGGUGGCCCAGGUCAGAGCACGCAGGAUGGCCAGAAAAGUGGGUGCCAGGGGGAAUUGAAAUUUAUAUUUACGCAGCCCAUAAAUUUCUGGCUUUUCGGCUCGUCCCUUCUGCUGGGAGCUAGUGCUUAGGCUGCCAGUGGUGCUCAAGCUAACUAUUUUCAUGCGGUGUUCAUAAAUAUGAGUCGCAAAGAAAUGAAACCAACUAGACGAUGAAAGUAUUAGGAACAUGGUUACUGAAAGCCACAUGGCUUACAAAUCAACUUUGAGCGGCAAUAUUAUUUUUGUUCUUCUCGCUUUUAUCGCUUUUUUAAAGUGUGCGAGGGCUUUUGGAUGCAAAUACUUAGUAACAUAUAUGUUUGAAUAUUUGUUUAUUCCACCAUUACUUAAACAAAAUUAUGAAAAUUAUCGGAGUUUAAAACCAUAUGUCAAAUUAUUAUUACCUACACAAUUUGAUUUAGUUUUUAGUUUAUAAUAUAUAUUUAUCUAUUUGUUUUUGCCAUGUUCAUAGCUCCUUGAUGGAAAACUCUGAGCACACAUCCUGUUUGCGGAAGAGGGAGCGUUGGUGGGCGAGGUGGCGUGGGUGGGCUGUCAUGUUGCACAUCCCAACUUCUUGGCUAACCCACGCACGUCUGCCGGCGACAAGUUUUGGGCCGGGCCCUUGUACUCGGCUUGUGCGUGUCUGCGGCGAGUAAUCAAAUUAAAAGUUGGAGCAAGGAAUUGCUUUUAAAGGCAUUAGGCCGGCGUCAAGUCUUUAAUGUUUCAUGUGAUCGUUAGCAGCGGGCCGUGGCUGGCGAAAAUCUUUACAGCUUGCAAUCUUCCUCAAUUGACAGCUCUGCAAAUGCGAUGCUGGCACGCAAUCAGCCAUCUGCGAGAUUGCCAGAGUGCCAGGGUGCCAGGGAGCAGGGUGCCAGAACUCAGGAACAGAAACUAGGGACGCGCACAGAUAAUAACUUAAUUACAGCUUAGUGUGCCAGUGGGUCGUGUGGCUCCAUAUUUGGGCAAUUACAAUGGGCCAGGCUACACCUGGCGGCCGGAAACAUGUGUAUUAUCAAAUGCCACUCAUUAGGCGCCCGUCGCCCGGCGGCCCCCCUUGUGUGGUAAUUUAUCUCAAACGCUCUGCGGCCUACACGUGUACAUGGGCACUCCACACUGCCCCUUCCACACUCCACUCCCGAUGACAGGAGGUAAGUGAGUAAGGUGAACGUGUAGCGGCUGAGAUGGCAAAAAUAAUUAAGCCACGCUAUGCUUAAAGCAUUAACAUCGGAUCUAGACAGCGGCAACCACAUCCACGGCAGAUUGCUAGGGCUCCAGUGUUGGCGGCGUGACAACUGAGGGAAAAGUUUCCCAAGAUAGUUGCCGUGUAAGUGCAGGAAGCUGCAGUGAAAUAAUUUAGGCUUCAGCAGUUUUCCAGUGUCGAUUGAAGGCAGGUGGAACCAAUUUGACAUAUUCCCUCAUGGCUUCAACAAAUAAAGUUUUUGGAAGAACUACCCAAAGUUCGAGGCCACUGUAAGAAAGAGGCAUUUUAACUCCAGAGCAGGCGACUGAAACGGUUUCCUCUCUCGGCCACCUUAAUUGGCCCUGAGACCACGGUAACGUAACGGUGUCUGCUUGACUUGCACUUUCACCCGGCGCCAUUAGACACGAAACUUAGCCGAGCUUCGUCUGCAGUAAGUGCUGUAGUGGCCCACCCAUCCGCCCACCGUUUCCAGCACACCCAUCCACGCCUUCGCACACGCAUUUCAUUUUUCCCACUAAGUAUGGCUUGGCUAAAACGGCAUUUAUGGUCACGAUUUUCAACGGCUCUGCGAGCGUGGCUGCCUGAUGAUUUUGCAUGUUUAGCGACGUCUGCGCCGGCGCCUAAUUGAAUCUGCAUGGCAGGGGCGGCGUCCUGAGGAGGCUGUCAAGUGCGACAGAGUGGUAAAUUAAUUGGCUUUCGGGCGGAGAGGCAGUUUUGCUUGUUAUUUUUAACUCUUUUGCCAGUUACAAAGUGGUUGCAAGGUUAAGCCCAACCAAGGCAGUGCGGCUAAAAGUCGGCCAGCUACAUUUGUCAACCGCAAAACCAAAUUUCUGGUUUAUAAUUGACUUCGGCCAAGGAAUCCAUUGCUGAUAGGUCACUUUGCAUGCUGCGAGGCAGUCUGGAAUGUAAGUUGUCUGGUAUCGAGCAUCCAAGACUUUUCCACAAGAAUCGCAGGAUGUUAUUUUAUCAGAAAACUAAUGUAAUUAAUCUACAAAUUCCAGGUAUCAGGUAUUUCCAUUAGCUGCAAUAGAUACUUAUUCAAUGGAAACCAAAAAAUGGCAAUUAAAGGCAGCAUUCAACAGAGGCUUAAAUCGAAAUACUACAGAAACUCAAUCCGGGAACCCACUGCGAUGUGGGUGGAAGUAUACUGGGUAUACUGGGUCGUAAUUAGAGCGAUCAGAAUCCACCGGAGCAGGAACUGAAAUUUAAGGGCUUUAUUCCCUUUGGCUUACUUUUACGGUUCCAGCUUUAAUUAAAAGUAAAUUCAGGCUCCACUGGACGGGCACAGCGACCUUAGCGCUCCGACCCCGUUAUUGGCAGCCGUGCGGCGUAUUUAAGCCGUAAAGUACAAUUUGGGACAUGAACGUGGAGGGCCGGGAAACAACAAGAGCCGGAAACGUGUGACACAUUUGACCCUUUUUUGCAGCUACCACUUGGCAUAAUCAAAUUUACGCAGUCUGGACGCUCGUGCAGCUGUUGUGCCGAAUGCCUUUCCGGUUUCCUCUCGACUUCCGUUUGUCUAACUCGUUGGCUGGCUCUUGCCUAUAUUGGUUCCAUAUUAAAAUGGGCUGUCAAAUGGCUUGAAACUGCUGUCGUUUCCCAUUUUCCAAUUGUGCUUUGUUUGCCGUUUGCAUUCCCGUAAUUCUCGAUAGCCGAAUAUGUUUGAGACCGUGGCAAAAGUUUUGACAACUGAAUAUACACGCAUUUAUAUUCGAAGCGAAUGUGCGUUUUAUAUGGCUGUUGGCACGUUUUUGCGUUGAUUUCUCAGUUCAGUUCUCAGGCAAUGAGAACACUAAAAAUUCAGCCUACACCAGUUUUGACUGCUUGUUUUCUUUGCUAACUUAACGCAGUGCAAGUCUGCAAUUAUUUGUUUAUGAAUUUUCAAAGACUAAUUAAAAAUAAAAACCUCAGACGCUGCUUGAAAUAUUUGACUUGACGAUGAGCAUCUCUUUAAUAUGCGAAUCUGUGAAUAUCCGCUUUCUCAGCUGUUGUGUUUUUGGGACGAACUCCCUUGUUGGAAUGUUUUUGUGAACAAUUGUCACCCUUUGCUCUUUGCCGACCCUUCGGCGUAACAAUUUAAUGUGCUUAAGGAAUUUUGACACAAUUUUGGCAAUAAUAUCGAAAUCGGCGACCCUUUUCCGGGUGUCCUUUGAACAGCUCACGAAGUCAGCCCUCGGCGAGGUAAAAGGUCCUGUUCCUGCAGUUUCCAGCUCGCCAAUUACACAAACUCUGGGCAUAAAUGUGCUUAAAAACUGCUGAAGCCGCCCGUGCCACAGAUCCUUUGUCUAACCAGCUCUUGUGGUGCGGCUAUUAACGUUUUCAGACAACAACUACUUGCAGCUGGCAAAAAUCGUGGGGAUUUUACAUCUUUGCGUCUUUUAUUCAGCUGCCUGUUUAUUUUGCCAUGUUUAUCUGCCUCAUCGUAAAAAUAGAAAUAAAAAUAAAAAUAAAAAAAUAUUUAUGCAACGCUAUGGGCUGCUUCGUGAGAUUUUUUAUGACCCCGUCCGCCGAGCUAUUAAAAGGCGAAAGCGGGGGAAUACACACAUUUUUGAAAAUUGGCCGCCAAACGAAAGGCAAAGGCUGGCUGAAGGACGAGCCCAGAUUUGGAGCGCGUUUUCGGGGCCCAGGACCUUUUAUUAAUUCCAAUACAUUGAAUUUUCCGUAGACAAAAAAGCGUGUUUAGCAUGGCAAGCCGAUUAGGGCCGGGUCCGUCAGACUUUAAAGCCUUUAAAAGGCUUACCGUGCUGGCCAACGGAAUGGCCUAUAAAUUUUACAUUUAACGCGGCCCGAGGAUGACUCUUUUCCAAGGAGCCAGGACGCCAGGAUGGCAGGACAACAAAUUUGUCCGCCUCCAGAUGCUGGCAGCUCGUUGCUCUCCAGGACAUUUUUAUUUAUGAGCUGGCAAAUUAUGCGCUAUCAACGCGGGCAAUUAGAAACUCAAUUGCUGUGCCGGAGCCCAAAAACCCACAGUUCCUUGGUCCGGUUGGCAUUCAAAAUGACUUGUCAGUCGUGGCUUAGCAAAUAAUUUUGCAUAGUUAUUGGCUCAGUGCCGGAAGGUCAUUUCAAAAAUGUCAAAAGGGCUUAUAGCUUUAAGUGAGCCAUCUUUCAGUAUUAAAGCUGGACUAACUUUCUAGCCCGUGUUCUAAGCGUCCCUCUUUGAGGUAUAAAUUAAUAUAGAUUAGCGCCUGGGUGAUUUCGAGAAAUAAAUUAAAUUUUAUGUGUUAAUCAUAAUUAAUGUGAUGGUCGAAGAACAACCACUAUUGAUGUUAUGUGUUGCAAUAAAAUGCAGGCCGAUUAUGCACUUAUUUAAUUUUAUAUACUUUUUUUACUUUUUAGCUUAUGACAAAGCUUGUCACUUUGGAAAAAAUUACACUAUUUUCCUUUUUUAAGUUUUAUUUGCAUUUGUUAUUUAAUUUAAAUAUCAAUAAAAAGUUAAUUCAUUUAAUUACAUCAUUAUUUAUGUUGCGCUAACCAAUCAUAUAGAGAACAUUUCAGGACUGAGUUAAAUGUUUAAAUUCAAACAUCCACGCUCAAUUUAUCAUCCUUAAAGCCAUUUAUCGUUGAGCAGGUUUGUUGUAAAGAUUUAUCGGGACUGUUUUAAUGCUCUGACUUUACUGUCCUUAAGCCAUUUUAAUGCUGGGUCCUGGUCCUGGCCAGAAUUCGAAGAGUGAAAUCACUGCCCAGGAAACUAAUUGCACAUCAAAAACUUCGGAUGGAAACUUGAUAGAAACUUUCUGCCUGAGCUACAAAACCCUUUUACGAUGUACUAAAUUCAACGCUCUCCAAGGUCUCUGGUCAGCAACAAUGCCACGGGCUCCUCAUAAAAGUCGAAAAUCAAAAUGGCAUUUUUCGACACCAUCAAAAUGGCAUUUCGGUGCACCGAGAUGGCUAGCAUUCUAGCUUGGAGAGACGGAAAACCGCAAAUCCGCAUGUGAGCCUUGGCUGUGCAGUUAACUCAUUAAAAACGGCGAAAAAAAACCGUAUGCGUAACAUUGUUGGCGCUUUUAUUAGACCUCCUCCCUGUCCUGGCCAACAACUUCCACAUAAUCAAAAGCGCUUUAGCUGCUUUCAAAAGAUAAGCGUGGCUCAUUGCGGCCCGUCGCCGCUUUUCCGGCUUUUCCUCAGUCUCCUGCGAGGUCUUGGAUGGGUUGACUGUGUGACAUCCUGACUGUUUGUCAUAAUAAUAAAAAUGCCAAUUUGUUUUAUGGGUGACAAGUUGAGCUUGCCUUUGCUUUGCUUUGAUGUUGAUUUUUAUAUUAUGAUGUCGGAGCGCCCAUCCCCUAUCCCCCAUCCCCCAUCUCCCAUCCUUAUUCCAUAUGGGGCCACAUCCCGACCGAAAUUCCCCUCAGUAUUCAGUCAGCUUGUUUGCUCUUUCGGACCUGGGCAACAGACACGUGCUCUUUGAUACAUACUCGUAUACUUCCAUAUGAGAACUCUUGGCGAGUACGUAUAGUAGCAUAAAGCGAUUGUCUGCUGUAGAUUGAAACCGAAGUGGGAGCUCUGUGUUUAAAUCGUCAUGUGCCCAUAUGCAGUUUGUUUAAUAUUCAAAAAGGCUGCAGCAUCUUUGGGCUGAAAUGUAAAAGGGCACUGUUGAUUUGAUCGAAGUCUGUCCAUCGAAAAUAGCUUAAAGGGAAUUCGUUCGCCAAAAAAUUCGAAAGAAAUUUACUGCAACCGGCAAGUUGAAGCUGCAAUCUCCCAAAGCAAUAAAUCAUAAUCUGCCACAGGCCAUGGCCAAAAAGGUAGGAACUGUACAAACUGCAAACUACUACGUGAUUUACGACACUUAAAAAACAUGCUGGAAAAUGGCCGGGAAACUGAGUUAAACUUUAAUUCUUUGUUUGAGUUUUAGCACCAGUCACACUCUCACUUUAUACAAAUGGAAUUAAACAAGUUUGGUUUGUUUUCUUUGAUGGGAUUUCGCUUUAAAGUACAUUAAUUUUUAUUAUGAAUAUUAAUGAACUUAAAAGCACUUUCAAAUGUUUUCCUAGAUAUUAUAUUUAAGCUUAUGAAAAUAGACUGUGUUUUCGUAAGGGUCAUUGGUUUGCAUAAUUGAAAUAGUUUCACAACAUUAAAAUAAAACUCAGAUUCGUUGAUACACAAAUUAUUUCCCAAAAAAUGGUUAGUUGAUCUAAAUUGGAUAAAUCGUCUGAUUUUUUUGCAUUGUGCAUUCAAAUAUGCAUUUCUACGGAAUGUGUUGUUUGUUAAAAGUUAAUUUUUAAUUUGUAUACAAAAAAUGUCCAUAAAGUAUAAAACAAAAACAUUUUCAACAACGUAGAGCACAAAAUUCAUAAAUAGUUUCCCGCUGUUAGCUGUUAAACUGAGAGUCUUGUUUUGUGUAUACAUAUUCAUACCUAUUUAUCAUAUAUAUGUUCGCAUAUGUCAGCUUAACUGUGGUGAAAACCUUUGUCUGAAAUUUAUAUGCCCUCUGCAAGGGUAUAAAUAGGAUACUGUUUUUCUUCCUAGAAAAGAGGCAUAAUGAAUGUAAAAAAACAUUUGCUCUAUGCUUUGCAGUUUGUCUUAUUAUUUUUGUUUUGCAUUUCUUAAUUUAAUUGUAUUCAUCAGCCACAUAUUCUUUGAAUUUCAAGCGUAAAUAAAAGUUUUUUCACUUCACUGGCUGGUCCAUGCAAAUUAACACGAUUCUUUUGAGCGUUUCUUUUUCCAUUGUUUUUGUCUGGCCUUUCGAGCGCCCAAUUUGAAUUAUUGAUUGCAAAAAGUUUCCUUUUCGUUCCCGCGAAACGUCUAAAUUUGUGUGACAUCCAUCAGGCAGCCACGCCUACUUACAACACACCUCCGCUCCGAAAAGUAGCUUUUUAGCCAAUUUGAAUACACUUGCUCUUGUUUUUAUUUUUCAUAUACAUACUUACAAAUAUAUUUUCUGCUGCUGGAAAUUGUUUUCCCCAAAGUCUUUGUCUUUUGAGCUUUCGCCCCUGUGGCCGUUGAGGCUCUGUACUUGGCUUCCGGCUGUUAUCAGCCAUCGACACUUGGGACUCACUCAUUUGGGCUGCAGGAUGUGUCGUCCUUGCCUUCGCCUUCGCCUUGGCAUUCGCCUUCGCCUUGGUCUCCUUGGGCGCGGCGUUAAUGUAAUUUGGAUGCCAACAAAUAUUGCCGACGCUUUUUGUUUGAACUCCUGACUGGCUCAGUGGCUCAGUGGCUGCCUGUGGGCCACGCCACGCCUCUGCUGCAGCCCCCACUCCCUCCCUUAGGGGUGUUGACUUUAUUGAACCAUUUUUUCCACCGAACCUGAUUGACUCGUGGGCCACGUUUCCCUUUUCCCCUUCAGCCCGCAUUUUCUUCACUUCCUGGCUUUUAUUUCGCUUGCCGCAAAUUUGCUUUGGGUUCGCCUUAGACACUUAAACUCAACCGCAGCGGCAGUCGUGCAUGCCCGUUCCCUUUCGGUUCUGCUCGCCGAUAUCAGUCAAUUUCAAAUGUCAAUAAAAUGGAAAUUUUAUAAUUUUACUCCACCGCCAGGGGGGAAAGGCUUCCAUUCUCCUGCACUUUCGCACACCUCCCGCGACGCCUCCAACUUAAUGAGAUUUUAUUUAUUGACUGUUGAUAAGAGGAGAGCGUUUCUGGGCGGGAACGGCAGGAAAACAAAUCGGAGGAAGAGCCACGUCUAGGAGGCUUCUCAUGCGGUUUUGCGUGCUUUAUGGAGCCUGUUUUAUGGCUGCUUUAGUGGCUGAAUUUGGUGUUGGCUUAAACGCCGCUCGCAGUGGCGCAUACAAAUUUAUCUUUUAUCGACAUCAAUCUUAAUGGUGCAGCAGGCGAGUCUGCUCAGUCUAGAGAUAAUGAUUAAACUUUAUUAAUGAAAAGCCAUGCACAGCCAAGUAAAAUCGCUUUUAGCUACCUAAUAAACAUUAAAUUCGAGUUUAUGUGCAUUUUUUGAAUAAUUUUCUAUGAAAAAUAAAGCUCCCUCUUUUCGAAUCGAUUCAGAAACCAUUCACCCGAGCUCCUAACAUUUUUAUCUAAAUACAUCUGCUAUCCCAAACUUAGCAAAUGUUUGAUGGAUUGAUAUUUAUGCGUUUGCUUUUUUUGUAUUGCUCGGCUCGAUGUAUCCUUUUCAAGGCAAAUAUUAUGCCAAUUUUUGCUCUUGGCCGGGAACUUAUAAAAAUAAAAGAGACAGGGGGAGUCACGCACGAGCUGCCACUUUGAAGUUUCAAUUUUCGGUAUUUUAUAUUAAUUCUGUCUAUGGUUUUCUGAAUUAUUUCAAAUGCGAUGGCUUCACGUGUGUGUUUUCCUUGGCACUUACCACGCCUGGAUGGUUUAACUCGGAUCUGGCCGUUUUAGUUUUUAUUUUUCGGUAAUGUGGAGCGUAAAUGUGGCAAGGCACGUCUGAAUCGCUCCCCUUUGCAUAUUCGCACACAUUUGCACGUAACUUGUAAUGACAGCCCACAAAUGCGCAAAUGAGUUUUAAUUAAAAAGCAGGGAAAAUAAAGAAAACAUCAACAUUGCACUUUUACCCUAUAUGUAUAUGCAUGCUGAAUAAUUGAAGCCCCCGCAGAAAAAGAGGAUCGAUUUAAUGCCGUAGGCGGGCGUUAAACAUUUAAAGCUGCUUAACUUCAGUGCAUUCUUAAAUAUUGUUUCGUGAUAAUUGAAAAGCAUUCAGGUUCGGCGGAGAUGGACCCCAAAAACAGGCAUAUACGAGUAUCAUAAUUGAAAAAGGAGACUCGUGUUAAAUUUGCAAGUAAUCGUAUUGCAAAGACUGUAUAUUAACAUUAAAUAUAAAAAUGUUUUUCCAAUUGCCCUUUUUUGCAUUUCAACGAGAAUCAAAAUGUUUCAUUUAAAUUUUGCAUAAAAAGUGAGUGGCAGCAGCACCUGGCGUAUUUUACUUAAUUGUGCGACACCCCACAAAGUGUUUUUUAGUAUUGGACUGCCAACAGGGCGCAUGGGGGAUUAUUGAGUCUUUGCCCGCGGAGCUUUUUGCUGGCCAAAAUAACACAGCUGCCGCUGGCAAUGUUUUCACAAACGAAAAAGUUAUAUACAUUUUUUGCUCAGCUCAAGAUGUCCUCUGUUCGCUCUUAAAGUGGGAGGCACUUAAGUGCCUGAUAUUAAGAUUCAAGCUCGAAUGUAUUUAAUAGUUGGAUGAAAAUAAUCUUUUUCGAUUAUUUUACAAAAUAAGAACCGAAUUUUUACAAAAAAACUUAAUGCAAAUUUUGUAUUGAGUGAAUCUUUCCAAUUGCUGUUCCUACUGCCUUGUCUUUUAUGACACAAUCCGAUAUACGGAACACAUUUUCAAACGAUUCCCCCGACACUCAACUUAAAUUCACACUUUAUAGCCGGGACAUGAAAAGCUACACAUACGCCACGUAAGCCGGCAGUAAAGUUAAUUUUAUUUUACACGCACAAUCAUAAAAAAUGCAUUGGCAGCUCAAGUGUCUUGUCAGACGCCUUCGAAAUCCGAAAACUCCGACUUGAAACCUAAUUAUUUACGAGUUGCCGUCAGUCGAAAAACGGCCGAGGGCGUUAAAAAGUCAAAUUAUAUGCAUAACAUAAAAAAUACGACUCUUACGUGUGCUCAAAUUAUAUUUUGUACAACCAAUUCGUUUCGUUUACUGGCAUAAUAUUUCUUGUGUUAGCACCUAUCCACCUAAUUUGAAGGCAUUUUUUUUUGCCAGCUUUUUCAGCCUUUUUUCCUGGUCACUUGGGCACUGAAAUAUUAAUGCACAGUCCGAAGUCCCGGGGCCAUAACAUCUACCUAACGGCCAAGCUUGGCAUAAUGUAAUGUAUUAUCUCGGCUUACUUAAAUUGCAGUUUGGCCCAAAGCAACGCCUCUGUGCUCCUGUGGUCAGUGAACUCCAUAAAAUAUUGUUAACACCAUGUGCAAUUUUCAAUUUGCAUUUCUGCAGCUUUUCGCACAGGGCGCUCCACGUCCAUCCUGUUGCAUGUCGAGAGCCCCUAAAUUUCCAAUUUGUUUUGUGAUUUUGGGGCAGAUGGGAAAAAUCGGAGUGCAUGCUUAGCUCCGCAGGUCCGCAAGUCGUGUAAAUGAUUAUCCGUGGGCCAAAUUGCAGUUUCCCUAAACGGAACUUAGCCUGCAGCAUAAAUUAAAACAGCGCGCAAUUUAGUUUUCACCAUCCUGCAAGCUUGGCCAACUUCUAUUGUAAUCUUUUUGGGUAUUCGGUUCAUAAAAACGCCAUAAGCUGUCACCAGCAGCUAAAAGGCGGAAGGGCCAUAAAGCAAAUGCGCUGCCCUUUUUGUUACAAUUAUGUACAUUGUUUAUGCAGGAUACGAGUGUGGUUUGGAAUAAGGCGAAAGUUAAGCAAAAUAAUAAUUUAAAUAUUCAUACAAAUAGAGACUGAAAUAAGCUGGGUAUCUUUUGAAUUAAUGUAUCUACCCUGUAUGGCAUUUCCGGAGAUCCUGCAAGAAUAUAUUUUACUGGGUCCUGCUGCCUGACACAAGUUUUCACCAUAUAGAAUCUCAACUUGUAUUUAUUGAAUUUUACUUGCAUGUUUUAUGGCUGUUGCUUAAGUUUCGAUAUGCUGAAAGCCCUUGCUCUAAACUCUUGUGCAGGAAGAGUUCCAGUUUUCUGUGAAUAAAUGUCAUAAAGUGUUGAUUCGCCCGGCAGCACGGGCUUCAUAAAUACAUACAUUGGAUAGGCAAAUAAAUUUGAGCUCGGCUGAGUGCAUUUCAGCGUAUUGUGCCCUAUGCCAGCAUUCGAUUUCCGAACCAAUAUAGUGUCAGAUUGCCCUCGCCAUCUGGCUGCUGCUGCUUUCCGCUGGCUGCCAUUCGAGCCAGUUUGCUGAUAUUGACUGUUAGCCAGCAGCAAGCACACACAAACUUAUUUGCGCUUACUGAGUUGCCAUAAGGAUCUCGGUCCUGCCAAGUGGCAAGCAAACAUGGUGUGGAUUAUUUACAGCGCCGUGCACAGCCAUUUGCGAAAACGAUGUCCUCUGCGCCGCACCUCCCACCGCGCACAAUCCUGGGGAAAUUAAGGGAAGAGUGUGAACCUCUCCGAUAAGCGGAGGAACUCUGAGGGCUAUCAUGCUUAUGACAUGGAAUUGUGCAAACCAGAUCGCGUAGCUGCACACUACCAUCAGACUGCUCUGCUCCCUGCGUCUGCCACUCGAAACUGUGAUUUUCCAUGACUUAAAGGUGUUGGAGGUGGCACGUUGCAUAAUGUAAUGGACAAUUUACUGUGAGCCAAGACUUCAGAGAGGAAAAUCCACUACCUUCAUUAUUUAACUAUGUUUCAAUUUACACCAGAUUUAAACACAAAGAUGCUUAGCUCUCAGAAUAUCCAAAAAUUGCUUAAACAAAUUACAUUUACAAACCUUUUCUCUAUGCGGAAACCGACCCUAAGAAGUAGAACGCAUAAAUAAAGAAUACCAAUGGUCAAAUGGUCAAAAUAGUUUUUGUACAUUUAUAAAAAUUCUAUGCAUAGUGAACAUACUUUAUGUUCUACGGAUUAGAAAGGAAAGCCCAUUGUCCGUUUGUUGUAAACGCGCAGCGGAAUUCAAUUAGCCAAAUGACCGAAAGCUGGCCAGUAUUCAAAUCGAAUUUUAUAGGAGCCAGCCCACUAAGUAUGGUAUGCAUAAUGGGAUAGUGGUUGUUUCACUGGCAGUUACCUAAUCCGUAUCCGUAAGAAGGACCAUGGGCGUUGUUUUUAGGCCAAAGUGCCAGGUGCUUGAACAUGCCAGAGGAUUUGGGAGGGAAGUGGACGAAGGAAAUUCGAGGAGAUGGGUCCAAAACUAAUUAUGAAAAUUUUCACUUUACGACCGCGUUGCUUUUAGACUUGUUUGGUCUAAUGCGCGUAUUUGUCGAGCUGAAUUUAAUUACUGCAGAAUUGAAAGCAUUCUCGCAUUUCCAUUGAGCUUGGUUCGGUGGACCAAAGGAAAUAUCAUACGCAAGACAAUACACAGUACACGUGGUGAUUGGUGGGGCUUCACUGGCAGCAAACUAUUCAUUUUCAGCAGGUUCCUGUUUGAUUUGGCUCUGUUUGCUGGUCGGCAUGCCAUUUGAUUAAGCUUAGGGUUUGAGGUUUUCCUGCCACUGUCAUGUGGAAGAAAACAAUUUGCUGCUAAAUUGCUACAUGGCGUUGCCUGUUGAUUUCCUGUCAUCCGUCCCCUAAACGAUUGUGAUUGUGAGUGUGUGUGUAUGUGGGAGUGCAAGAGUGUGUGCGGCAGGAUAAUUGCAUUUUUAUAUGAGACUUCCGCUACAUUUCACUUAAUGGCUCCGUUUGAUUUCCGGCUCUUUUGUGCCACUAUUUGAUUUUUGCCGCCUUAAAGGCAUUUGAUUGCUUUUCAUCGGGUCUCCUAUUAAGUGGCAUUUGUCAUUGGCGCUGAAUUGAAUUCAUUGUUACAAUGGUGCUCGGAACCUUUGUAUUUAUUUAAAGGCAAUAAUUAAUUACAAAAGCUUUUCACACAUAAGAGCAUCAAAUUGUUAUGUUAUUGUUGAUGACGAUUAAUUCAAUUAAUUUGCAGGCUUACCGGCCAUAACUUUAUUAAAACACAAGUUGGGUGCUCAGCAUUAACAUGGAAUUUAAUAUGCCAUCGGUUGCAAACAAGCCAAGUCCUAGAGAAGCCAUCUCCAUUAAGGCCAUCCAACUAUUUCAGUACCGACCCCGAUUCGGGCCAAGCAAUGGGGCCAUCUACGCCCCAGGCGCGGUGGGUUCGUCCUGGCAAAUACAUAAAAAUACUGGCGAAUAACAAUAAAACCUAGGAAAUUAUUGAUACGAGCCCGGCAAAUGGGCAUGGAAAUUGCUUACCAAUGCGCAGAACGCCACGUGCAAGGACUUCCAUUCCGUGGGCUCAGUUCAGUAGUCUCACUGAGCAAAUAUGAAUAGACUAAAUGGACGGCACGUCAUGCAUGCCGAGGACCCACUAAUAUCAAAACAAAUAUGCUCGGCCCACGCAGGCAAAGUUUUAUGCCAAAUACUUUAAGGCAAACUUUAUUAGCUCCCAAAUACCUGAGAUUUCGCCCGGAUUGAGCGGAAAAAGGGAACCCGAGCAGCCUGGCGAAGGCCCAAGGCCAAUGGAACUCUAGACAAAGCAAAGCUCCAUCUGGACCCGAGCGAAAGGCAAGGGGCAGCUGUGCCUACACUAGAGAAGUGUAAUUGAUUUCAUGUGUUUGACGCGCUUUUGCCCCGGGGACCUCUUAUAAUCCCAACUAAGCACGCAGACAAACAGAGUCGAAAUUAAAGGGAAGCUUGGGAAGAACAUUGAACUGCUUGACAAUCCGGGGAAGGGGUUUUUUUUUGUCCUACAUUUAUUAUUAGCUCAUAAAGAAACCCUGAGUUCUCUAUCCCCUUUACCCUGUACCCUGUACCCAUAACAAAUAUCUGGAACAUUCUUCGUCUGUGUGUACCAUUGAAUGCCGUGUGCUGGGAAUAUAAAAUGGGCGAGCAGAAAUCACCUGAUUGAUCAUUCACCGCAGACAUGGCCAAUUUCAUAACUUUGGGCCGCCCAUAGCUCUGGGCCACCCGAAUCUUAUUGCCCGUAAUACAUUUGCGCGAUAAUAAAAUUAAAAAAUGUAUUCACACAACUGUCACAAAUUCGCAGGAGCGUAGGCGAGACGUAUCUGCACAUGGAAUUUGAAAUGUCGUGAUUACCAGCUACCUGAUCCCUCGUCGCCGUUGAGGCUGCCAACUUUCUGUGUUCCUGGCAUGUCAACGAAAUUUAUCACAGACUCACAUUUGUAACUCGCAAACGAGGAGACGAGGAGAUGUUAGGCAUUUGCAUGUCUCGCCCCGACGAAUUAUUCAUAUUUUGGGUACGAGCAGCGUACUUCUGGGGCCUCCAUGUGUUACUAUUAAUUCUGUGUUCCUGCCGGCAAAUUGAAGGCGACGCCUGAUCCUGGGCCAGGACAUUAGCUGGAGCCCAAGAGGCUCAGGUGUGUGACAGGGGAUUGAAUGUUGCUUGAUGUGAAAUUUUCUUUAUUGUUUCGCCGACGAAUUUAUGCAAAUGCCACACUUCGGCGACUGCUUGAAAACGACAGCAAAUGAGAUGUGAAAUUAGAAUACGUAGGCCAUAAAUCACCCCACCCCACGUAAAAAUGUUGCAAAAUCAAGAGCAUAAUUGUACGGCUAGGCAAUCUACUUCUAUAGAGCAACCAAUAAGUGGUUCCAAAGAAUUUUACACAAACUAAUAUCAACAAUACCCUAAUGAGUGCGCUCGUUAUUUUGCGAUGUACACAACUGAAGUAUUUCCUUUGAUAUAUUAAGAAAGUUUACUCUUGAACAUGCACAUUGCACAUUGAAGAGCACAAAGAGCUUUUAACACUCAGUAGUGCUUGAAAGUUAAAUGUCAAAGAAAAUAAAUACUGAAGUAUUAAAAGUACGACUCAAUUUAUGCCAGAUGUACACUCCGCUCCAAGGGUCAGGUUUACAUAAAAACUCAUCAGGGUCCUUUACUUUAUGAAACUGUAAAUCGCAUCGACGAAAUCCAUUUGCACAACAGGCCGCUUGAACGGUGGGAAAAGCCAACAAAAUGAUAUCGUCUGAUGCUCUUAAAGUCUGGCCGGGAUUACAUGAAACGUUUCGGCGACAGAAGAGCGAAAUUUAACGUAAAUUCAAAUCAGCGAAAAGGGACUCGGCGAACGAACAAAAUGCUCAAUCAAAUCAAAGUCCCUAUACAAAAUGCAAAAUAAGACAAUGACAAAGCGGAGUGGGUGUUUAGCUGAGUUGGCCCAUCCAUGGGUUCUGAAAUGGGUUCGGAUGGGUUGUUCAGGGUUUCCGUGGACUGGGUGGGGAUCGCUUCUCGUUGUCCAACAAAACACGUAGAGACAAGUGUCACUGACAGCUGGAGGCAGUGCUCGUUAUGCAAAAAUAAAAAGAACGUAGAGAAUGGGCAAGAAUUUGAAAUGUACUGAAAUCGAAGUAAGCCGAAUAUGACGAAAAUUCUUUUAGAAAUUAUUUACAUAAAGUUUAUGAUAUGCAAUCUAAGAUAUCAGAGUACACAUACGGGAAAGAAUUCCCCGAAGGUUGGCUUUGUUCUGUGUACAUAUGUUCACCAAGCUCAUCCGAUAAUGGAAUCACACUUAUUGCUUAGUCGUUCUAAGGACUUUAUUAAGGGCGAAGUUGAGAUUGUCCUAAUUACGACUUUGUACCAUCAAAUUAAUCGCUGAUAGCAGUAGCGGGCUGAGGAAACAUCUACCCGACAAGUAAAAGGGACCGGAAUCACAGGAAAAGCGAUUAUCGGAUGAGAAGAGACUCUGACGGAGAAGCGACAGAUGUAAUCAAAAUAAAUUACGAGCGUGUAAGCAGCCUCCAGUCUCUAUUACGCACAAUAAAAAGGGAAAGCACCAUUUGCUUAACGCAAUCUCA